rnacentral:rRNA from 1 species
UACGUAGGGGGCAAGCGUUUGUCCGGAUUUACUGGGCGUAAAGAGCGUGUAGGCGGCCACGCAGGUCCGUUGUGAAAACUGGAGGCUCAACCUCCAGCUGUCGACGGAAACCGUAUGGCUAGAGUCCGGAAGAGGAGAGUGGAAUUCCUGGUGUAGCGGUGAAAUGCGCAGAUAUCAGGAAGAACACCCGUGGCUAAGGCGGCUCUCUAGUACGGUACUGACGCUGAGACGCGAAAGCGUGGGGAGCGAACAGGG